rnacentral:rRNA from 1 species
UACGGGGGGGGCAAGCGUUGUUCGGAAUUACUGGGCGUAAAGGGCUCGUAGGUGGCCAACUAAGUCAGACGUGAAAUCCCUCGGCUUAACCGGGGAACUGCGUCUGAUACUGGAUGGCUUGAGUUUGGGAGAGGGAUGCGGAAUUCCAGGUGUAGCGGUGAAAUGCGUAGAUAUCUGGAGGAACACCGGUGGCGAAGGCGGCAUCCUGGACCGAGAUUGACGCUGAGGCGCGAAAGCCAGGGGAGCGAACGGG